rnacentral:misc_RNA from 1 species
AAGUCGUAACAAGGUUUCCGUAGGUGAACCUGCGGAAGGAUCAUUAACACUUUUCAUCCCUAAUUCCUGGCCAUUAAGUGUGCUGCGCCUUCACGGGUUUGCGCUUGCUCUUUGGUUUAGGUACCAACCCCUUUGUGUGCACUUGUUGAGAGGAAAAACGGAUGAAUGUAGAGUUUCGACUCUACUUAGUCUUACCUUUUUCUCUUGUUUUUUCUUAUUUUUACCAAUUUUUUACCCCUUUUCUAAUGCUAUAGACUGAAAUAAUAACCUUUUUGGAAGGGUUUAAAACAUCCAAAAGAGUAAUACAACUCUUAGCAACGGAUAUCUAGGCUCUC